UGGGAACGUGCCUUUUGGUUCGGAACAACCCAGGGAAACUUGGGCUAAUACCGGAUAAGCCCUUACGGGGAAAGAUUUAUCGCCAAAAGAUCGGCCCGCGUCUGAUUAGCUAGUUGGUGGGGUAAUGGCCCACCAAGGCUACGAUCAGUAGCUGGUCUGAGAGGUUGAUCGGCCACAUUGGGACUGAGAUACGGCCCAGACUCCUACGGGAGGCAG
rnacentral:rRNA from 1 species